rnacentral:lncRNA from 1 species
UGGAGGACUUCAAGAACAGUGCAGGCUGACUGAACUACGUUUUCUAAUUUCAUAAUUCGAUAUAGUUUUUCAUAUAUUCGAUUUUUGUUCAAUAUCGAUAUAUUGAUUGUUUCCUUAUCACUUCAGCCUAAUAAUACGCAAAAUAUUUUCAAUUUAUCUUGCCUUGCUAGUGGGGCAGCACAUUGUCAUACAUACUCAUAUGAUCUUCAAGUUCGGUGGGGAUUUCAAACUCGGCAUCGCAGACACAACAGAUAUAACCAAUACCAGUUGCUUGUUUUACUUCGAAUUCCUUACAGACAUCACAUUGGUAGGACGUACCAUGGUCUUUGGCCUUGUGCUGAUAUAAACUUUCAAUAUCAGGGAACUGUUUGUCGCAUUUGUCACAGACACAAUAAUCGCCACUCAAUAUCUCACCAUCAUGUCCUUGUUCUUGAAUAAUUUCCCUGCCACAAUUGUUGCAGAAUAAUAAGCCAUCUCUUGAAUGUACUCCAGUGACGUUUGAGAUUUUUACGUUGUGUGAAUGUUUUCUUACAUUUAGCACAUUCAAAACACUGCUUUACCUUGUGUGCUGAUAUAUAUUUUAUGUCGUGUCAACUUGUAUGGUUCUGAAAAUCUCUUCUUGCAAAUGUCACAUUCAAAAGGUUUGUCUGCGGUAUGUGUUUUUUUAUGAGUAGCUAAAUGCCUUGAUUGUUAAAAUCUCUUUUUACAAAUAUUGCAUCCAUAAGGUUUGUCUCCAGUAUGUGUUCUUUUAUGCUUGGUUAAGUAGCCCGAUUGUGUAAACCUCUUCUUGCAAACAUUACACUCAUAAGGCUUGUCUCCAGUGUGUGUUCUUUUAUGCUUAGUUAAGUUGCCCGAGCAUGAAAAUCUCUUCUUGCAAACAUCACAUUCAUAAGGUUUAUCUUGAGUAUGUCCUUUUUUAUGGGUAGCUAAGUUGCACAAUUGUGAAAAUCUUUUGUUGCAAACAUCACAUUCAUAAGGUUUGUCUCCAGUAUGUGUUCGUUUAUGCGUAGUUAAGUUGCUCGAGCACGAAAAUCUCUUCUUACAAGUGUCACAUUCAUGAGGUUUCUGUCCAGUGUGUGUUCUUUCAUGUGUAACUAAGGUGUUUGAGUGUGAAAAUCGUUUGUUGCAAACAUCACAUUCAUAAGGUUUGUUUCCAGUGUGUGUUCUCUUAUGGAUGGUUAAAGUGCUUGAGAGCGAAAAUCUUUUGUUGCAAACAUCACAUUGAUAAGAUUUGUCUCCAGUGUGUGUUCUCUUAUGAAUGGUUAAAGUGCUUGAGUGCGAAAAUCUUUUCUUGCAAACAUCACAUUCAUAAGGUUUGUCUCCAGUGUGUGUUCUCUUAUGUGAAGUUAAGUGAGCUGACCGGGAAAAUCUUUUGUUGCAAACAUGGCAUUCAUAAGGUUUGUCUCCAGUGUGUGUUCUCUUAUGUGCAGUUAAGUGACCUGACUGCGAAAAUCUUUUGUUGCAAACAUCGCAUUCAUAAGGUUUGUCUCCAGUGUGUGUUCUCUUAUGUACAGUUAAGACACGUGACCGGGAAAAUCUUUUGUUGCAAACAUCACAUUCAUGAGGUUUGUCUUCAGUGUGUGUUCUUUUAUGUUUUAGCAAAGAGCUUCUCUGGGAAAAUAUCUUGUUGCACAAGUCGCAUUUGCUAGACAUGGUUUCAGCCUUUCAGAUCUUUUCCCCGUACGGUCAAAUUUCGAUCAAAAAUUUCACCCAACUGUUCCCUCGAAUCUUUCUUCAUUGAAUCUUUACAAUAUCUCGGUUCUUACAGAAUUCCUG